UACGUAGGGUGCAAGCGUUGUCCGGAAUUAUUGGGCGUAAAGAGCUCGUAGGCGGUCUGUUGCGUCGGCUGUGAAAACCCGGGGCUCAACCCCGGGCCUGCAGCCGAUACGGGCAGACUAGAGUUCGGCAGGGGAGACUGGAAUUCCUGGUGUAGCGGUGAAAUGCGCAGAUAUCAGGAGGAACACCGAUGGCGAAGGCAGGUCUCUGGGCCACUACUGACGCUGAGAAGCGAAAGCAUGGGGAGCGAACAGG
rnacentral:rRNA from 1 species